AGAGUUUGAUCCUGGCUCAGAUUGAACGCUGGCGGCAGGCCUAACACAUGCAAGUCGAGCGGCAGCGGGAAAGUAGCUUGCUACUUUUGCCGGCGAGCGGCGGACGGGUGAGUAAUGCCUGGGAAAUUGCCCAGUCGAGGGGGAUAACAGUUGGAAACGACUGCUAAUACCGCAUACGCCCUACGGGGGAAAGCAGGGGACCUUCGGGCCUUGCGCGAUUGGAUAUGCCCAGGUGGGAUUAGCUAGUUGGUGAGGUAAUGGCUCACCAAGGCGACGAUCCCUAGCUGGUCUGAGAGGAUGAUCAGCCACACUGGAACUGAGACACGGUCCAGACUCCUACGGGAGGCAGCAGUGGGGAAUAUUGCACAAUGGGAGAAACCCUGAUGCAGCCAUGCCGCGUG
rnacentral:rRNA from 1 species